rnacentral:rRNA from 1 species
UACGGAGGGGGCUAGCGUUGUUCGGAAUUACUGGGCGUAAAGCGCACGUAGGCGGAUCAGUCAGUCAGGGGUGAAAUCCCGGGGCUCAACCCCGGAACUGCCUUUGAUACUGCUGAUCUGGAGGAUGGGAGAGGCGAGUGGAAUUCCGAGUGUAGAGGUGAAAUUCGUAGAUAUUCGGAGGAACACCAGUGGCGAAGGCGGCUCGCUGGCCCAUUUCUGACGCUGAGGUGCGAAAGCGUGGGGAGCAAACAGG